GAUCCUGGCUCAGGAUGAACGCUGGCGGCGUGCCUAAUACAUGCAAGUCGAACGCGAGCACUUGUGCUCGAGUGGCGAACAGGUGAGUAAUACAUAAGUAACCUGCCCUAGACAGGGGGAUAACUAUUGGAAACGAUAGCUAAGACCGCAUAGGUACGGACACUGCAUGGUGACCGUAUUAAAAGUGCCUCAAAGCACUGGUAGAGAAUGGACUUAUGGCGCAUUAGCUGG
rnacentral:rRNA from 1 species